rnacentral:tRNA from 1 species
GCCCUUGUAGGCUAAUGGAUAGACCACAGGAUUCCGGAUCCUGAUAUGUGGGUUCGAAUCCCACCAGGGGCG